UCCACGUCCUUUCUAGACGAUCAUCAGGCGAUUUUUCAAAAUCGCCUGAUGAUCGUCUAGAAAGGACGUGAAAC